AAUUAAUAAAUAAAAUAAGAUUAUGUUUCAUUAUUAACUUAUAACCUUUUAACAGUAAAGUUCAAAGGUUUUCAGAACUGGUAUAAUAUAGAAUAUUUUAAUAUAAAAUGUAGAAAAUUCUGAAUGUCUGAUGAAAAAUAUUUUUGAUGAAUAUAUUAGAUUUUUUUUUGGAAAUAUUACAUUGUGUGUUUAGGGUAUGAGAUUUAAAGAUUCUUUAAAGAUAUCUCAGAGUGACUGAGUGAGUCUUACAUAAAUAAUUAAAUAAAGGGAAAAUUGAAAAUAUACAACAAAAGAACUAGUAGAUUGUCUCUAUGCCAUAAUAUGAACUAGAAGUUGUCCACUUAAUAUAAUUUUUUAUGUAAAUCCAAAUAAGUCCCUAAUCUAAGCCUAAAACGUUUUUUGUAAAUUUAAUGGUUAAAAAAAGGUAAAAAGUAAAAAAAAAAAACAGAUAGUAAAUAAACAAAAGGGGAUAAUCCCAAUUCUUGACUUAGAACCCUAAUUUCGCCUCCUCCUUUGGCGAUGCCAGGAGGUGUGCCCAAGCUCCCAAAGAUCCAACCGGCGGAUAUCCAAGCCGCCGUAGGAUGGGGUGUCGCCGCCGCAGCCGGCGCCAUCUGGGUCGUCCAACCAUUUGAUUGGAUAAAGAAGACAUUUAUUGA